UUUUGUGGCUCAGUGGUAGAGCGCUUGCCUAACACAUGUGAGGCACUGGGUUCGAUCCCCAAAACUACAUAAAAA
rnacentral:tRNA from 1 species